rnacentral:lncRNA from 1 species
AUUCUGUACUAGAUCAGGAGAGAGAAUGUUGGUUCAAAUCUAAGAUGCAGAGCAGAUUGGUUAAGGACUAAGUUAGUUGAUCAUUUCCUAAGACAAGACUAGGACUAGCAGCAAAGGUGGUAUGGAUACUAUCAAGAUGAGAGGAGAAGUGGACAAACUGAAAACUAGUUCAAGGUCUAACUUUACAAACAUGACCUACCCACUGUGGCAUCCCUCUUACGCUUAGCCUGAUGUGCUUUGGUAGAGGAAGCACCACCCAUAUGAGUCUGCAUUUGCCAAAGGUGCCUUAGAAGAAAGGGAAAGAACUGGAACAGGUCAGCAAGUCCCAUGCUAAUGGGACUCAUGUCAAGCUGGGUCAAGUUGGGGUGUAGAUCUCUCAUUGAGAGCUAAAGCAUGGCGCUAAAAUAAGGGAAAGCAGAGACAUAGAAAACAAUCAAAUCUGAAGAAACCAGAGGAUGGAGAUGGAGGCUGUAGAACAAGGUGGGAAUGGAAGCUGGUGGAGAACAAUAAGGUCCUGCUGAGGAUCCCUGGUGCCCAGUAGGGAACACCGUGAGGAGGAGGAUUAAGAAAGGCACCCUUUCCACUGAUUUGCAUCGCCAUUUGUACAUGGAGUUUGGCUACAGCAAAAUCCGUUGCUAUCUCACCAGCUACAAGAAGCAAAGAACGAAUUGCAAUUCAUUUUUGUGCUCUAGGACCCGGUUGAGGUCUCCUUGCUGACAAAAAAGGAAAUGACUUCUGAAGACAUGAAAAAAAAAAAACAGGGUGAAGACAAAUUGGGUUAGAAUAACCCAUGACCUAGAUCAUUAGACUUUGACUAAUGAAGAACUGCCUUUUAACAGAGUUAAAAUUGACAGCACCAUGGCCUCACACCCAACAGGGUUUGAGGCUGGACCCUUCUUUGACAAACGAUGCCCUGAUUUACGCGCAAAAAUACCCAUCACAGCAUUAUUU